rnacentral:ribozyme from 14 species
CGGUAAGAAAGAGAAAUCUUGAAAGUGAAUGAAAUGGGAAUUGAAAGGAGAUGAAAACAGUUUUCACCCUCGAAGUUUUAUAUUCGUGUACAGUUUUUUUUUUAUUUUUAACAAUAACUAUUUCUUUCUCUUUGUUCUUUUGGCUUUUCUUUGUCAAAGACAGAAAGGAAGAAAGAG